rnacentral:rRNA from 1 species
AGAGUUUGAUCAUGGCUCAGGACGAACGCUGGCGGCGCGCCUAAAACAUGCAAGUCGAACGAGAAGCCCGGGCUUGCCCGGGUGGACAGUGGCGAACGGGUGAGUAACACGUGAGGAACCUGCCCCGAAGACCGGGACAACACCGGGAAACCGGUGCUAAUACCGGAUACCUUCACCGGAUCGCAUGGUCUGGUGAAGAAAUGGAUUCCGCUUCGGGAUGGCCUCGCGGCCUAUCAGCUAGUUGGUGAGGUAACGGCUCACCAAGGCGACGACGGGUAGCUGGUCUGAGAGGAUGUCCAGCCACACUGGGACUGAGACACGGCCCAGACUCCUACGGGAGGCAGCAGUUAGGAAUCUUGCGCAAUGGACGAAAGUCUGACGCAGCGACGCCGCGUGCGGGAUGAAGGCCUUCGGGUUGUAAACCGCUUUCAGCAGGGACGAAAUUGACGGUACCUGCAGAAGAAGCCCCGGCCAACUACGUGCCAGCAGCCGCGGUAAUACGUAGGGGGCAAGCGUUGUCCGGAUUUAUUGGGCGUAAAGAGCUCGUAGGUGGUUCGGUAAGUCGGAUGUGAAAUCUCCAGGCUCAACCUGGAGGGGUCAUUCGAUACUGCCGUGACUAGAGGUCGGUAGGGGAGUGUGGAAUUCCUGGUGGAGCGGUGAAAUGCGCAGAUAUCAGGAGGAACACCCGUAGCGAAGGCGGCACUCUGGGCCGAUACUGACACUGAGGAGCGAAAGCGUGGGGAGCGAACAGGAUUAGAUACCCUAGUAGUCC